AGAGAGAGACAUGCGCGCAUAUCAAUAAGCGGAGGAAAAGAAACUAACAAGGAUUCCCUUAGUAACGGCGAGUGAAGCGGGAAGAGCUCAAAUUUGAAAUCUUCAAGGUUUUACCUUGGACGAAUUGUAGUUUAAAGAAGUGUUUUCUGCUGAAGUUUUGGUAAAAGUUCUUUGGAAUAGGACAUCAUAGAGGGUGAGAAUCCCGUAUUUGACCAUUAUUUUCAGCUUUGUGAUACACUUUCAAAGAGUCGGAUUGUUUGGGAAUGCAGUCCAAAAUGGGUGGUAAAUUUCAUCUAAAGCUAAAUAUUGGCGAGAGACCGAUAGCGAACAAGUACCGUGAGGGAAAGAUGAAAAGAACUUUGAAAAGAGAGUUAAACAGUACGUGAAAUUGUCAAAAGGGAAGCGUUUGACACCAGUGUUGUUUUCUCGAAAAUCAAUUAAAAAUGGCUCGAUUUUGUAUUGUUGAGACCUUAAAAGCUCACUGUACAUUUUUCGUGUCUUUUUUAAUGCACUUUUCGUUUAACAAGUCAACAUCAGUUUCUUUUGUUGUAAAAGGGUCAUUGGAAGGCGGCUUUCUUUUCGGAGAAAGUGUUUAUAGCCUUUGGCCUCUGCAAUCGGAAGAGACUGAGGUCUGCAGCGUAGACUCUUCGGGGUUAGAUACAUUUGUGCUAAGUUAUAGCUUUUUAUAGACAGCUUGUUGACUAUAAUUAGUCUUGUAGCUUACUCGCUUAUGCUAUUAUACCUACGCUUAGGAUGUUGAAGUCAUCGUAUCGCGC
rnacentral:rRNA from 1 species